AUAAACCAGGAUUAGAUACCCUAUUAUAUUUAAACAAAUUGGGUAGUAUUAUUAAUAAAAACCUUUAUACUUUGGCGGCAUUUUAUCUUAUUAGAGGAAUAUGUUCAUUAAUCGAAACCACACGAUAGUUUUUACUUACUAUAAAAUUUUAUAUACCCCCGUCUAAAGAAUUUAUUUAAAAUUUUUAUUCCAAAUUAUAUUAAAAAAAGUUAGGUAAAGGUGUAGACUAUUAGUAAGAUUAAAUGUAUUACAUUAAAAAAAAAUUUAAGGAUAAAACAGUUAACUGUUUAUUAAAAGAGGAUUUAUAAGUAAUUUACUUUUAAUAAAAAUUAAUGAAUAAGAAAAUAAAUGUGCACAUAUCGCCCGUCACUCUCAC
rnacentral:rRNA from 1 species